rnacentral:rRNA from 1 species
AUUGAACGCUGGCGGCAUGCCUUACACAUGCAAGUCGAACGGCAGCACGGGAGCAAUCCUGGUGGCGAGUGGCGAACGGGUGAGUAAUGUAUCGGAACGUACCUUUCAGUGGGGGAUAACGUAGCGAAAGUUACGCUAAUACCGCAUAUUCUGUGAGCAGGAAAGCAGGGGAUCGCAAGACCUUGCGCUGAUUGAGCGGCCGAUAUCAGAUUAGCUAGUUGGUGAGGUAAAGGCUCACCAAGGCGACGAUCUGUAGCGGGUCUGAGAGGAUGAUCCGCCACACUGGAACUGAGACACGGUCCAGACUCCUACGGGAGGCAGGCAGUGGGGAAUUUUGGACAAUGGGCGCAAGCCUGAUCCAGCCAUGCCGCGUGAGUGAAGAA